rnacentral:rRNA from 1 species
AUACGGAGGGUGCAAGCGUUAAUCGGAAUUACUGGGCGUAAAGCGUACGUAGGCGGUUCGUUAAGUUAGAUGUGAAAGCCCCGGGCUUAACCUGGGAACUGCGUUUAAAACUGGCGAACUAGAGUUGAGUAGAGGGGAGUGGAAUUUCAGGUGUAGCGGUGAAAUGCGUAGAGAUCUGAAGGAACACCAGUGGCGAAGGCGGCUCCCUGGACUCAAACUGACGCUGAGGUACGAAAGCGUGGGUAGCAAACGGGAUUAGAAACCCCAGUAGUCC